AAAUUGAAGAGUUUGAUCAUGGCUCAGAUUGAACGCUGGCGGCAGGCCUAACACAUGCAAGUCGAACGGUAACAGGAAGCAGCUUGCUGCUUUGCUGACGAGUGGCGGACGGGUGAGUAAUGUCUGGGAAACUGCCUGAUGGAGGGGGAUAACUACUGGAAACGGUGGCUAAUACCGCAUAACGUCGCAAGACCAAAGAGGGGGACCUUCGGGCCUCUUGCCAUCAGAUGUGCCCAGAUGGGAUUAGCUUGUUGGUGAGGUAACGGCUCACCAAGGCGACGAUCCCUAGCUGGUCUGAGAGGAUGACCAGCCACACUGGAACUGAGACACGGUCCAGACUCCUACGGGAGGCAGCAGUGGGGAAUAUUGCACAAUGGGCGCAAGCCUGAUGCAGCCAUGCCGCGUGUAUGAAGAAGGCCUUCGGGUUGUAAAGUACUUUCAGCGGGGAGGAAGGUGUUGUGGUUAAUAACCGCAGCAAUUGACGUUACCCGCAGAAGAAGCACCGGCUAACUCCGUGCCAGCAGCCGCGGUAAUACGGAGGGUGCAAGCGUUAAUCGGAAUUACUGGGCGUAAAGCGCACGCAGGCGGUCUGUCAAGUCGGAUGUGAAAUCCCCGGGCUCAACCUGGGAACUGCAUUCGAAACUGGCAGGCUUGAGUCUUGUAGAGGGGGGUAGAAUUCCAGGUGUAGCGGUGAAAUGCGUAGAGAUCUGGAGGAAUACCGGUGGCGAAGGCGGCCCCCUGGACAAAGACUGACGCUCAGGUGCGAAAGCGUGGGGAGCAAACAGGAUUAGAUACCCUGGUAGUCCACGCCGUAAACGAUGUCUACUUGGAGGUUGUGCCCUUGAGGCGUGGCUUCCGGAGCUAACGCGUUAAGUAGACCGCCUGGGGAGUACGGCCGCAAGGUUAAAACUCAAAUGAAUUGACGGGGGCCCGCACAAGCGGUGGAGCAUGUGGUUUAAUUCGAUGCAACGCGAAGAACCUUACCUGGUCUUGACAUCCACAGAAGAAUCCAGAGAUGGAUUUGUGCCUUCGGGAACUGUGAGACAGGUGCUGCAUGGCUGUCGUCAGCUCGUGUUGUGAAAUGUUGGGUUAAGUCCCGCAACGAGCGCAACCCUUAUCCUUUGUUGCCAGCGGUCCGGCCGGGAACUCAAAGGAGACUGCCAGUGAUAAACUGGAGGAAGGUGGGGAUGACGUCAAGUCAUCAUGGCCCUUACGACCAGGGCUACACACGUGCUACAAUGGCGCAUACAAAGAGAAGCGACCUCGCGAGAGCAAGCGGACCUCAUAAAGUGCGUCGUAGUCCGGAUUGGAGUCUGCAACUCGACUCCAUGAAGUCGGAAUCGCUAGUAAUCGUGGAUCAGAAUGCCACGGUGAAUACGUUCCCGGGCCUUGUACACACCGCCCGUCACACCAUGGGAGUGGGUUGCAAAAGAAGUAGGUAGCUUAACCUUCGGGAGGGCGCUUACCACUUUGUGAUUCAUGACUGGGGUGAAGUCGUAACAAGGUAACCGUAGGGGAACCUGC
rnacentral:rRNA from 1 species